AAAAACGUACCCGCACAACCCACAACCCAACCUCCCAAUCCCAUCUCCACCUCCAGCGCUCCUCCACCCCCGCCGCCGCCACCGCCGGCCCCUACCGCGCGCCGCCGACCCCCUCCUUGCGGCCAACUCCGCCGGGGCGCUACCCCUACCCCAAGUGCCCCACCCCGCGGCCUUCCACCGCCGACGACACACGACGCGCGCUGUUGCCGGCUCCCCCUCCCCUGCUACCACGGUGCUGCCGGGACUCCUCCCCGUUGCUUCGACCUCGGCGUUGGUUCCCCCAAACCCGCCGGUUUCGCCACCGGCCACAACUUCCCGGCGCACUCCACCAACCGACAGACCAGUUCGCCCGCCUCCCAUGGCUAACAUCGCUGCUACCCCAGUGUCGCUUCCCACCCCAGGGGCUCAUCUCCUCCACCUGCGCACCACUCCCCGACCUUCCCUUUUCGCGCCGUAUGCUCCCUCUCGCUUCACUGCCUGGCAUGUGCCAGGUCCAAUCUGGACGAGCAGGACAACAUAGCCAGCCAUAUGCGCCCCUCCAAUCUGAACGGCUUGCUCUGCAUGAUGCCGCUUGCUUGCUGUGUGUGGGGUAUAUUUUUGUUGUACUCUUAAUUUGCUGUUGAUGUCAUAUGCUACAGAUUCAUGUUUUUUAUGAGAUACUUGGAAUACGUAAGAGUACUGAUAUAGUAGAAACAAAGCAUGUACAGUUAGCAAUAUAGAAGCCGCAGAAUGUUUAAGGGGAGUUGAAUGUCAAAAACCACAACCCUGCUACUCUGAUAGUUUUCAGGCUCACAUUUUAUGGGAAAUUAUUUAGUUUGUCACUUUGUUAUGGGAUAUAAUGUCUUACAUAUCAUAAUGUUUUGGUGGAAACGGUGGUAGUUUCUGACCUCUUUCAGAGUUUAAACUAUUUUCCUGAUGACUGAAUGAAGUUGAAACUUUGACGACAGAUGUAGCAGGGUUAGCAGAAAACAUGAUGCACGAUUGAAUUAAACAUGCAGGGUUCAAUACGCAUCUCUAAUUAUUCUUAUGUUUAUUAUUUUUAAUAAUCUACCACUUCUGGCAUCCUGUCGGUGAGUCUUCUUUUGGCCUGCGAACCAUAGUCAUUGUAGCUUUGCUCCAGUUUGCCAAUGUAUAGCUGAAUAUGAGCCAUCUACUUGCUGGAAGUGGUCACAUAUGGGGUAACUUUUAGUGGCAGGGUGAAGUAAUGGUACUGGCAUUUGUAUUACUGAAAGUACAGUACAUACUUUGUGUUAUUUUGCAUGCUCUCUAUGUGUUCUCGUCUUGGCAGGGGAUGCUUGGUGAUGACUCCUUAAAUGCUCUGAGUAAUAAUUGAGAAUACAUAGACACUGUCAAAUUGAAGUGUGAUAUUUGUAUGUCAUAUUUACUCCACAAUAACUUUUUAUGUGUUUUUCUCAUUCUUUUUACAUAGACGUAAUGAUUUCUUUAUGCCGCAAUGUUACUUAUGUCAUUUGGAUUUGGACAACAUGCCACAGUGUUACUUCGAUCUCUGGAUGGUUGGUGGCCACCUUAAUUAGAAUCGUUAGGGGUAAUGUAGUUGCAAUGCAGUAUCUAUGUGUGGGCUACCGGAUGGAGUUGCAACAGCUGUGGUCAAAAGCCGGAUGUUUUGGAGAUGCCAUGUUUGAUUAAUUAAUUAAUCAUCUUUUGUGGUGCCAUUAGUUCUGAUCCUGGGCUAGGAGGAUUUAAUAUUCUUAAUCAUGCUUUCAUGCAAAUUGACCCAGUUCGUCCGUUGAUUGAUUACUGGACUCCAAGUUGCAUUGCUUAUUUUGGUAAGUGAGAAUGUAUGACUGUAAUUCUGCAUACAUCAUCAUGCUAUUUCCUCCUAAUUUAUAUAUGAAGAUUAAGUGUCCUUUUUUACCUCAAAUUUACUUGAAUAUUUAACUGAGAAUUACUUCAUUGUGUGUCAUGCCUAUCUUAUUCCAUCCACAUGAUCUAUGGACCACAGAUAUAGUUCUCAAUCCAAGGAGAGUCCGAAAACUAAUAAUUUGUGCCUUGAAUAACGAAUGUAAUUUUUUUGUUCUAAUCUUGAAACUUUGGCUAAUGUGAUAAUAUUGGUGUCACGGUGGUCUUCAUAGUUGUAGUGAGUACAAUCUAACAGAAGCAAAAGUCUCUAUUGAUUGUUGUAGGAGAUCCAGAAAGCGGAGCAUUGGGGCACUCUGAUUUUUAAGAAGCUCCAUGCACGUAUUAAGGCCAGUAAAUUCAAUUUGUUUCUCAUCUGCUUCUCUAUGGUCUGUUGUCCUUAUUCGAUGUAUUAUUCAGGACACCAUGCAGCAGCACUACACCCUGCAGUUCAUGCUCUGCUCACCAUGACCUGCCUCCUCAUCAUCAGACAUACUCAUGUGUACUAGGAUCUCCUCACCAUCAAAGUUCAUGUGUCCUCUAGAUCAAGCCUAUGCAUGUGAGCUGAAGAAUUGUUUGCCUGUUCACAAUUGGUGAUUGAAGGGUGGCCGGUGACUUCCAUAAUUUUCUUGUAGUUGUUUGUUGGAUAAUCUUUAAAAUUAGGAUUGUAGAGAACUUUACAUUACUGUAAAACUUCGUCUUCUUGGUGUUGAUGCUUACAUAUUCCAUUAUGCUAACUCAGCAACACUUUUAGCAGAAAUUGGUUGUUUAUGCAGACACGCGGUGUAGUAAAAUUGAAGAUUUAGCUCCCGCAUUGCAUACUUAUGCUAUGUUGUAGUAAUGUUCUAUCCAUGAAUUAUAUAUAGCAGACUGUAUGUUCAGCCUCCAUGUUCA